UGACCGAUAAAGAAGGAGAAGAGGCAGAAGAAGGAAAUCAUGGAAGUGAGUGAAGGUGAGAGAGACUGAUGCCUGACUCCUAACCAUUUCAAACUUUGGCACUGAAAUCCAUGGCGUUUAUCUUUUUUCUUUUAGAUUUUUGUUUUUUCGUGUAAAUGAAACGACACCCACUUCUUCUAUUCUGAUAACGACUUUUCUUCUCUUCGUAUUUACAUAUACCAUUUCUCACAUUGAUUUCACUUUUGCAUGAAUGGUGUAUUGCUACAAUUUCACCGGUUCCAUCGUUUGUUUCAAGAUUGUCCAUUUUGGGUAAAUGGAGGCGACUAUUAAAUCUACAAAUACAAACGGAUUAUGCACAUAUAGAACAAUUCAGAUCAUAUUGUUCAAAACUUAAUAAAGUCUAAGUUAAAAAACAACAUUAUAGUUUCGGUUUGAGUUCUC